rnacentral:pre_miRNA from 1 species
UAAAUACUCCCUCCGUCCGAAAAUACUUGUCAUCAAAAUGGAUAAAAAGAGAUGUAUCUAAAACUAAAAUACAUCUAGAUACAUUUCCUUUUAUCCAUUUUGAUGACAAGUAUUUCCGGACGGAGGGAGUAUUUU